UGAUAGCCCCGAUGGGAGGGAAUAUCCUUUUUUUACAUCUGUCAGGUUUUAAAACCUGACAGAUGUAAAAAAAGAUAGGAAGGACAGCGGGACGAUGU
rnacentral:sRNA from 1 species